rnacentral:rRNA from 1 species
UACGUAGGGGGCAAGCGUUGUUCGGAAUUACUGGGCGUAAAGGGCGCGUAGGCGGCACGGCAAGUCAGGAGUGAAAGCCCUGGGCUCAACCCGGGAACUGCUUUUGAAACUGCCGAGCUAGAGUGCGGAAGGGGCAACUGGAAUUCCCAGUGUAGCGGUGAAAUGCGUAGAUAUCUGGAGGAACACCGGUGGCGAAGGCGGCAUCCUGGACCGGUAUUGACGCUGAGGCGCGAAAGCCAGGGGAGCAAACGGG